UCCCAGACAGUGUACCAUGGCCUCUCUCUCCUCUCCCCUCCCCUCCUCUCUCUCAGACAGUGUACCAUGGCCUCUCUCUCCUCUCCCCUCCCCUCACCUGACAGUUUCUAUAUCAAGUGACAUCUCCCUCCAUCCAGGAUACGCUGACAGUGUACCAUGGCUUCUCUCUCUCUGUCCCUGGGACUGCUGGUGCUGUGCACCCUGGCUCUUGUACACUGUGACCUGGAUGACAGCCAUGUCAGGGUGUGGGGCCUUAGUGCCUCCAACCUGAAAGGAGACCUCCUCUCCCAGCCAGACCCCUACGUCAAGGUGUGGUGUGGCCCAGCCUUCGGUGGCAUCACCAGCAUUCUGUAGAACCAGGCCAACCCCAUCCUGGCCCGGCGAGUUCAACUUCGUAGACAUCAUCCACAAUUCUGUCGUGAAGCUGGAGGUGUGGGAUGACGACGUCGGACUAGAUGACUGUCUGGGGAAACUGCACCACAACCAUCCGCUCAGGAACACACACUGAGACCUGCCACCUGAAGAGAGGCACCGUCUACUACACCUACAGCUACAAGAAGGAACAGCACCAACAGAAUGAUCAUUAGAGUGUAACCUAUGACCUUGUGUCUGAUUGGCUCUCUCACACUGUCACUCAUGUAUUCACUUCCUUAUAGCAUAAAACAUUGUUUUUUACUGUGAGAUGUUCUCAGUCUGGCUGUUUCUGUAUUGUUUUAUGCUUCUCAGAAGAUGUCUUAGAUUGGUCCAUAGAAUAUUAAAAGUGGUAAAUCAAUAUUUCUACCAGCUUUUAGGUUUUAUGUCGAAGCUUUUACCAUUUGACAUUUACCUUUCACAGUAUAUCAUUAUUGUGCUUAAACUUGAGCUUAAUAUAACUUUGAUCAUUCAAAGGUUUGGCCUUCGUUCGAUCCUUCAAAGAAUCCCCAUUAAUGGUUCCUUGAAGAGCUUUUUGGGGUUCACCCCCACCCCCUUGGUAUUUGGUAUUUAUUAGGAUCCCCAUCAUCUCUCUGAUUCAGAGGGGUUGGGUUAAAUGCGGAAGACACAUUUCAGGUGAAUACAUUCAGUUGUACAACUGACUAGGUAUCAUCCUUUCUCUUUCCCUUUCCAUUAGCCACUGCGAAAGCGUCAGCUACUCUUCUUGGGGUCCACAUGAAACAUGACAUAAUACAUAGCACAGAACAUUAUUAGUCAAGGACUGAAAUGCAUACAUUUUUAAAAUGUCACACAUAGCCUACAUAUCAGUACAUGCACACAAUAUCUAGGUCUAAUACAUAGUACAGGGCAAAUUACAAUACAAUAAAUAUAAAAUGGCUAUUCACA